UGCGCUGUUUCGAUACAUAAAAGUGAGCAGAAAUUUCAGGAGAAAUCACUCGUUUCGGCAGAAUCACAAGUGAUACCACGUCUUUGAUUUCUUAAGCCGUCGAGCCAUAAUGAAGUCCAUGUACAUCCUACUCAUUUUCGCACUGCUUGUCGUAGUUUUCGGUGUGUCUAGCGUGGAAGCUUGUUACGGCUGCCCGUUGCUCCCGUUCAUUUGUAACAACUACUGCAAAUCAAAAGGUAACAGCUAUGGAAAAUGUCAAAGCACGAUCAACUGGACAUGCGUCUGUUACAUCUAAUUUGCUACCGCUACAGCUGUGUUACGAACAUCGACAAGAUCAAAAUUAAAUAAUAUGAUGUUUGAAUUUAAACGCUUAUAUACCUGUAUAUGUAACAAUUAAGCAUUUUGUUGUAGAAAAAUAAUAAACUGUUUUGAAUUUUGAA